GAUGAACGCUGGCGGCGUGCCUAAUACAUGCAAGUCGAGCGAACAGAUGAGGAGCUUGCUCCUCUGACGUUAGCGGCGGACGGGUGAGUAACACGUGGAUAACCUACCUAUAAGACUGGGAUAACUUCGGGAAACCGGAGCUAAUACCGGAUAAUAUAUUGAACCGCAUGGUUCAAUAGUGAAAGACGGUUUUGCUGUCACUUAUAGAUGGAUCCGCGCCGCAUUAGCUAGUUGGUAAGGUAACGGCUUACCAAGGCGACGAUGCGUAGCCGACCUGAGAGGGUGAUCGGCCACACUGGAACUGAGACACGGUCCAGACUCCUACGGGAGGCAGCAGUAGGGAAUCUUCCGCAAUGGGCGAAAGCCUGACGGAGCAACGCCGCGUGAGUGAUGAAGGUCUUCGGAUCGUAAAGCUCUGUUAUUAGGGAAGAACAAAUGUGUAAGUAACUAUGCACGUCUUGACGGUACCUAAUCAGAAAGCCACGGCUAACUACGUG
rnacentral:rRNA from 1 species